GGGCUGUAGCUAUAUCGAAUUACGAAAGAGAGAAGUUUACUGGCCGGUCGUCGUUCUCCGUCGACAGAUCUGCUUACCGAGCUUCUCACAGUU